rnacentral:ncRNA from 1 species
UAAUUGGAGAGUUUGAUCCUGGCUCAGAAUGAACGCUGGCGGCGUGCUUAACACAUGCAAGUCGCACGAGAAUUCUUCUGCUUGCAGAAGAUAGUAAAGUGGCGCACGGGUGAGUAAUGCGUGGGCAAUCUUCCCUUGAAUCGGGGAUAACAUCGCGAAAGCUUUGCUAAUACCGGAUGACAUCCAUUUGUCUGCGGGCGAAUGGAUCAAAGGUGGCCUCUACAUGUAAGCUACUGUUUGAGGAUGAGCCUGCGUACCAUUAGCUAGUUGGUGGGGUAACGGCCCACCAAGGCGA